rnacentral:rRNA from 1 species
CCCUUAGAUGAUUUGGGCUGCACGCGCGCUACACUGACCCUAACAAUGAGCAACUGUCUGGCCUGAGAUGGCUGGGUAGCCUUUUCAACCCAUGUCAUGAUUGGGCUAGAUUUUUGUAAGUCUUGAUCUCUAACGAGGAAUCCCUAGUAUGCGUGAAUCAUCAAUCCAUGCAGAUUAUGUCCCUGCCCUUUGUACACACCGCCCGUCGCUACUACCGAUUGAAUGGUUUAGUGAGGCCUUCGGAUCCGCGACUCGUUUUGUGGAGAAGUUGGACAAACUCAGUCAUUUAGAGGAAGUAAAAGUCGUAACA